UCGGCUUUGGUAAGGGGUGGGCGUGGGUUUGGGUUGGUUGCCGGUGGUACCGUCGUGGCGGCGGCGGCGGCGGCCGCGAGGGCCUGCUGCAGCAGCAGCUUCUCUAGGAGGAGGCGGAGGGCGGGCUGCUGGGUCCAACAGAGAAGGCGCGGAGGGAGCAGACGUUCCGGACCUCCUUGCGGCAGAGGGUAGGGGCGAAGGCGGCGGCGAUGUAGCCCGAGGUGGCGGUGGCCCGUGGGGGGCACGAGCCGAAGGAGGUGCUGACCCUUCUGCCCCCGUAGGGUCUGAAGAAGGGGUGGUGGCGGAGCGGGAAGAGGGAGCGGCGAGGUCUGGCGGCCAAGACCGCGGGGCAGCUGACGGCGGUACCGGCGCGGGAGAAGGAGAGGCUGGCGGCGGUCCUUUGAGUCCUUGAGGAGAACACCCUCGGUUAGUGCCCGCGGGCAGCCCCGUAUGGCCACGGGCGCCGCAAGUCCACGGUCACCGGCCGGCGCCGUCACAAGACGUGUCGCCUGACCACGCUGGUGGCGCUGACACGUCCUCCAGGGAAGCCGCACCAGAAGGAGAAGCGGCCGCUUGUUCUGGCCGUGCAACAGUGUAGCCGCACGAACAUGAGCAGCCUCUGACCGUGUACCCCGUUCGACUUGAGCUCCGUUCUACUCAAGUGGUACCUUAAAGUCUUGGUAAGGUCGCACGACCAACCCUCCAGAGACGAGAUGAAGGACAGGCUGCCACCCUGCUAGGACCUCAUGUUAAACCUGUCACCACAUGACCGACACAACCUAUCUGGUGGACUGCUAAUGCCGUCCCCGGCGGUUUCUAAAUUGGAGUACGACCGCCUCCUACCACCUGACCCCCAACGGCUUCGGUAACUAAAAGUCGAGUAUAACACCUUUUCCCUCCGCUCACUACCGUGACUACGUGCUACCCACGACUCGGCCUAGCAGCUGUACCUGUCAAAGAAGCUGGGUCAGUGUGAACGAGGUCACAACCCGAAACGCCUCCCUCGUUUACGAUAAAAACAAUUUUGAUAAAUAUCGGAGAAGUACCAACUCGAUGUCAGCCUCGUCCGCUUUUAACACACAAGAUCAGGACCAAAGACAUUAAACUAAGGUCAACAGCCGAAGAUGUGAGGUGUAAGAUCCGAGGUUCACGGGCCACCACUUGUGGUGUCGGGUCGCGGUACCGACUUUGUUGACCCUUCCCCACCAGUCGUUCCCCAGACCCUCCUCUUUAGUGAUCUUACCCGCGUCCACGACAAACUACUCCCCACGUACCGAUAGUUACUCUUCCUGAACCGGAUGUGCCGACUGACGAAGUCUGUACAAGAGCUCUAGUCCCAAGCUGUAAUACCUCCGGAACGAGGACUCACACGAUUGUGCAAAAUGGUAAUACCUCCACGGAACAAUACGUUUCGAGCCCUCCGUCGGUUAGCAAGUCCAUUACAAAGUUUCGCACGUGGUUUACUUCUUCCAUACGAAAUAGUAAAUAUAGUGAAAGUGGUGAUAUCCAACUUUAUAUAGUGACAUAAAACGUAACAAGAAGUCCAAAUACCUUACCAGAGAAUCUCUUUUGACGUCCUAAUCAACUGGGGUGUUGAAAUUGUACCGUGACGAUGACGGGAUCUGUGAGUAUAUGUGACUUUCCGUAAUAAUAGGAAAAAUUUAGAUAUAUGACAUCAUAGAUGAGGGAGGCAGACCUUUAUGAACAGUAGUUUUAUCUACUUUUACCUACAUAGAUGUUGAUUUUAUGUAGAUCUAUGUAGGUAAAGUUACUGUUCAUAAAGGCCUGCCUCCCUCAUCAACUAUCGUGAUGACCAACGUUAUUCAAGAGUAACAGACAAGUACGGAUUACUUCUCAUAUGGAUUAUUUGAAGAAUAGUCAUUAAACGGGUACGGUUACGUUUCAUGAUUAUCAAACCCUGAACCUUACAAAAGUAAUUAUAAUAUACUAGUGUCAUAUGAUUCACUCAACCUAGAACAUGCGUAAACACACGUAGAUAACGACAAAUAAAGGAGAACCCGACACACGUAGGAGCUAAGUCUCCGGGCCUUAUUAUUUUGAGAAGGUAAAAGAUUUCCUUUUUUACAAAAAGAAGAAAGUUACCAUGCACGAUUAUAUCAACAACAACCAAUCCCUGUUUGAACGCACCGUUUCCAGUCUGCCUACCCUUGUACUGUCCGCUACCUCUACUAAGACAAAACCUAAACCGGACCUUUUACAACUUAUGACGUUCCCACUAUCAACGGUUCUCAGGUCUCUUCUGUUACCUCUUCCAAUUAUAUAACUUACGAGAUCGACUUUAGAGGUACUGUUCUCUCCUGUCUCUGUUUAGUUAGCCAAUGAUGAAGCUUCGAAAUCGCUAGAACCUUGUAAACCAACCCGGACUGGUAAAAGCUUAACAGCUAGAUUUGGAGGCGUAUCCAAACCGUAGGUUCCAACCUCUACGUUAGUCUAUAUCAUGUUUCCGAUAAAGUAAUACGUACAGCGUAUAUGUAUUAGACCUUUAACGGUUCCUUCGAAACAACCGACUAUAUGUAUUAGACUUUUAACGGUUCCUUCGAAACAACCGACUAUAUGUAUUAGACUUUUAACGGUUCCUUCGAAACAACCGACUAUUUCUGGAAUCUCGUAGACGACGAUUUCCUGUGAGUCCUUUCAGCUGAGACCUUCUACUAUAUAGAAUGGAACGAUCUUACAGCAGAGCUCAGGUCUUCUUCGAACUUCUUGACUUCGUUCGUUACGGUUGGGGUUCGCUGCCGUACCUAUUAUAAUACUUCUCCCACCAGAGUGUCCGUUCAGUACUCGUCUUACAAUUCUUAUGAUACCGUUCUUGACGUAGAAACUGAACAAGUGUCUACUGUGCUAGUUUGUUGUCAAAGGUAAGGGGUUGAUACAGUUGCCGUCGUGGUUCUCCUUCGUGACCUUCAUCGCAUUGGUUGAAACUCUAACAACCGUCUCUGUACUUUGCUCGAUUUCUACUCAGCUAGAGGAUGCUUGGAAGAGGUUUCUCUGAACGCUUUGGUAAAACCUGCAAUGACAUCAUCAUGAAGAAUUCGUUUUGAGUAUGAGGGAGGCAGGGUUUUAAGAACAGAAUCUAAACAGAUUUAUGCCUACAUAGUUCAGUUCAAAAUCAUAAUCUAUGUAGAUAUAGAUCUGUUUAGAAUUCUGUUCUUAAAACCCUGACUCCCUCAUAAUUAAAUAAUAUAAAACGGACGGAACUAACUAGUCGAUCAUCAUGAAGAAUCUAUGAAGAAUCUAUAUCAAAAACGUUCAGUCACUAGUAAAUUCUUUGUAAAUAACAGAUCCACAACGUAGUCAACGUUACUUUGUAAACUUAAAAGAUGACAAACUUCUUACAAGAUAAGAACGAUUAAGACUCUCCGUCCGAUCAUCACUACUAAUUAUAAAAAAAAAGAAACGCUUACCUUCAAUUUGUUAAUCAAUAGUCUUUUGAUCUUACAACGUUUAUGAUCUACGUAAACGUCUAAUGUGUAAUGUAACAACGUUCGCUCGAGUCUAGAGAUUGUAAUUGACCGUCUGACUCGUUUGUUUACAUGAUCUCCGGCCUCUUCUACCGCCGGUUCCUACAUCCACUCCCGGUGUCGUAGGAUGACGUGUAGGCCUAGUAGAGAGUCCACUCUUCAGACCUGUUCCGUUCGGCAUCUACCCGAGCAGCCGCUGGCCGAGGAGUCCGAGACCCAGACCGACGCAAGGGAGGAGGUAGGCCACCACAAACAGCAAGGGGAGGCGCCACUACGAGACGCGCUUGGGCCACCGAAGGAGGCCGUGUUGGUGAACUAUAUUCGGAGAAAACCUCUUCGAAGUCGUAAGUCGCCUCCGGACUGUAAUGGGGUAGACUUCGGAAAAGGAUGUUGGGGUUCUAAUAAAUGUGAUGAAGAUCCGAAGACAACAACGGUAAACUCAACGGGGGAUUGGUUGCUGAUACAGUCACAAGAACAAUUUACUUAGCCAGAUAAAAGUACUAGUACGAUAUUACUAAUAAAAAGGCAUUAAAUACAUACUGUCCCAACGACGAGAACACAUCAAUUUCGAUC
rnacentral:rRNA from 1 species